AUUAAGAACAGAUAAACCAGAGGUAAAAACUGAAGCUUUAAUACUAGCAUUUACUCUCUGACUAAAAGUGUUUUAGACUCAGAGAGAAGAACAUUACCUUACUUUAAACAGGAAGGCAGUUUGUGGAUUUGUGUGUGUUUACAGGAUUAGGUGUAAUCUGAAGGAGGAAGAUGAGCUCCAAAAUGAGUGUCUCUGGGGAACAGGACACACAGGAAGCUGAGAGGUGAGAGAAUAAUGUGAUUGGGUAUAAAGUGAAAGGUUUGCUGGAAAGGUUGUAGAUGGUGUCUGAUACUGGUUGUGUUUUAGACUGGAUCAGGAUAAGAGAUCAGACUCACCUGAACCCAGCUGUGUCUCCAUAAACAGUGACCAGUCAAUGGAAAGACCUAUACACUUCAGUGAGGACAACAGAUCUACUGAUCUCAGAGUCCAGAAGGAGACUCCAGAAAUCAGCAGGAGAAAUAUGGACUCCAUAUUAAAGGUGUGUAGGUGUGACUAAUGCCAGAGCACAUGUGAACACUGUAAAAUGUGAUUUAAACUUUA
rnacentral:lncRNA from 1 species